GCAGCCGUCGGAGGGGCCAGUUGCAGCCCGUCCCUGGCUCUGGCCCUGAAGCAGGAAGAUCUGGGCCCAGGAGCCAGGGAUUAUGGAACCAUACACCAUGCUCUUCCUGUAGACACCCCAGCAGAACCCUGAUAUCCUGGUUUUAAAACAUCUGCAACAAAGGGCACAGUACUUUUCUAUUAGUAAAGCAGAUACUGCAUCCUGCUCUGAGGACCAACAG